rnacentral:rRNA from 1 species
CUACCCUUGACAUGGAAGGAAUCCUUGAGAGAUCGAGGAGUGCCCGAAAGGGAACCUUUACACAGGUGCUGCAUGGCUGUCGUCAGCUCGUGUCGUGAGAUGUUGGGUUAAGUCCCGCAACGAGCGCAACCCUUGUCAUUAGUUGCUACGAAAGGGCACUCUAAUGAGACUGCCGGUGACAAACCGGAGGAAGGUGGGGAUGACGUCAAGUCCUCAUGGCCCUUAUGGGUAGGGCUUCACACGUCAUACAAUGGUACAUACAGAGGGCCGCCAACCCGCGAGGGGGAGCUAAUCCCAGAAAGUGUAUCGUAGUCCGGAUUGUAGUCUGCAACUCGACUACAUGAAGUUGGAAUCGCUAGUAAUCGCGGAUCAGCAUGUCGCGGUGAAUACGUUCCCGGGUCUUGUACACACCGCCCGUCACACCAUGGGAGCGGGUUUUACCAGAAGUAGGUAGCUUAACCGUAAGGAGGGCGCUUACCACGGUAGGAUUCGUGACUGGGGUG